rnacentral:rRNA from 1 species
AACGACUCUCGGCAACGGAUAUCUCGGCUCUCGCAUCGAUGAAGAACGUACAAAUGGAUACUUGGUGUGAAUUGCAGAAUCCCGUGAACCAUCGAGUCUUUGAACGCAAGUUGCGCCCGAAGCCUUCUGGCCGAGGGCACGUCUGCCUGGGCGUCACGC